AAUGAACGCUGGCGGCGUGCUUAACACAUGCAAGUCGUACGAGAAAUCUUCUGCUUGCAGAAGAUAGUAAAGUGGCGCACGGGUGAGUAACGCGUGGGUAAUCUGCCUCCAAGUCUGGGAUAACCAGCCGAAAGGCUGACUAAUACCGGAUAAUAUUUUGAAAUCUCCGGCUUUCAAAAUCAAAGGUGGCCUCUACAUGUAAGCUACCGAUUGGAGAGGAGCCCGCGUACCAUUAGCUUGUUGGCAGGGUAAUGGCCUACCAAGGCGACGAUGGUUAGCUGGUCUGAGAGGAUGAUCAGCCACAUUGGAACUGAAACACGGUCCAGACUCCUACGGGAGGCAGCAGUGGGGAAUCUUGCGCAAUGGGGGAAACCCUGACGCAGCAACGCCGCGUGAGUGAAGAAGGCGGGGCGGGUUGUAAAGCUCUGUCAAGUGGGAAGAAACCACCUGAUGUUAAUACCAUCGGGUGUUGACGGUACCACUGAAGGAAGCACCGGCUAACUCCGUGCCAGCAGCCGCGGUAAUACGGAGGGUGCAAGCGUUAUUCGGAUUUACUGGGCGUAAAGGGCGCGCAGGCGGUUUUUUAAGUCAAAUGUGAAAGCCCGAGGCUUAACCUCGGAAGUGCAUCUGAAACUGAAAGACUUGAGUACGGGAGAGGGAAGUGGAAUUCCUGGUGUAGAGGUGAAAUUCGUAGAUAUCAGGAGGAACACCGGUGGCGAAGGCGACUUCCUGGACCGAUACUGACGCUGAGGCGCGAAAGCGUGGGGAGCAAACAGGAUUAGAUACCCUGGUAGUCCACGCUGUAAACGAUGAACACUAGGUGUAGCGGGUAUUAAUUCCUGCUGUGCCGAAGCUAACGCAUUAAGUGUUCCGCCUGGGGAGUACGGCCGCAAGGUUAAAACUCAAAGGAAUUGACGGGGCCCGCACAAGCGGUGGAGCAUGUGGUUUAAUUCGACGCUACGCGAAGAACCUUACCUGGGUUUGACAUCUCCCGAAGUUCCAAGAAAUUGGAAUGUGCCCGCAAGGGAACGGGAUGACAGGUGCUGCAUGGCUGUCGUCAGCUCGUGUCGUGAGAUGUUGGGUUAAGUCCCGCAACGAGCGCAACCCUUGUCUUUAGCCCCCCCUCAUUAAGUUGGGCACUCUAAAGAUACUGCCUCGGUUAACGGGGAGGAAGGUGGGGAUGACGUCAAGUCCUCAUGGCCUUUAUAUCCAGGGCUACACACGUGCUACAAUGGGCUGUACAGAGGGUCGCGAUCCCGUGAGGGGGAGCUAAUCCCAAAAAGCAGUCCUCAGUUCGGAUUGGAGUCUGCAACUCGACUUCAUGAAGGUGGAAUCGCUAGUAAUCGUGGAUCAGCAUGCCACGGUGAAUACGUUCCCGGGCCUUGUACACACCGCCCGUCACACCACGAAAGUUGGUUGUACCAGAAGUUGCUGGACUAACCCCGCUUUUGCGGGGAGGUAGGUACCUAAGGUAUGGCUGAUAAUUGGGGUG
rnacentral:rRNA from 1 species